CUAUUCCUUACACGCUUACCGACAACUGUCGGAUCGAUAGGUAUCGUUGCGCAGCUUUUCUAUGGUAUAGAAAAGCUGCGCAACGACGUCUACCGAUCUGAUAAUUGUCGAUAAGUGAUUACGGAAUAGGGUCCCAGGAUACUUAGAGAACCUCUAGUAAGAAGAGUAGCCAACUUGUGACUAGCUAUUCUAUUGGCUGGCAUAAAAUGUACGGAUUUGGACAUUACGACGCCAAUGCAAAACAAAUGGUUACAUAUGUGAGGUUAGCGAUCGUUCAUCAUAUUAAUAAGUACGUUUCGAUAAUGAUAUUUAUUACGAAAUUUAAGUAAAGUAUUUCUUAAGAGAAGUUAUAAAUAUAAUGUGAUUGAUACCAUUAUCAUACACUAUGCCAUCAAAUUGCACAGCAUUCAACUGUUGCAACAGGAGUGAUGAAGGUUACGCAUUAUUCAGAUAUCCACAAGAUGAGACCAUGAAGAGAAAAUGGAUUGUUAUGGUUGGAAGAGGUAAAAACUGGUCCCCUAGUAGUUCACAAAAACUUUGCGAGUAUGUUUAUUAUUUUAUACCCGCAGGUACAUUUUAAGCCAGCAGAAAUCGAAUUUUUUGCUGGACGCAAGCGAGUUAAGCUUGGUUCAGUUCCUUCUCGUUUUUGUAGUUGUUCUUCAGGGGAUUCAAAGAAUAAUCAUAGAAAGUUGAGAAAAAAUGCGGAAUAUAGGAAUAGUCUUUACAAGCAGCAAGUUUCUAUUAGAGAACACAAUAAUUGCUGCAUUGUUAUGCAACCUCCAUUGAGGAAAAAUGAUAUAUUAGCUGUCCAACAAGAGGAAUUUAUUGAAAAAGUUCGCAAAGAAAAUGCUGCGUUAAGGACAGUUGUUUUCCUUCUUCAAAAUAUAUUGCAAAAUAGAGCACAGUGAUCUUGCGAUUAUAACAAAUUUGUAUGAAAAACCUAUUAUUGUUGAAACAGAUUGUGAUUAUAUACAUUUCUCAAAUAGCACAAGAUCUUAAAGGGAUACCUUGGGGACUUGUGUGGAAAUUAGAAGUCCUCGGAAUAUUUUUAGGAUAUUCUGAAGACUUAAGCAGACAUUUAGCAAUCUUCUGAAUGUCUUUGGGACAUCUUUUAAAUCUUGUGCUAUAUGUGUCGUAUAACAACAUAAAUUAUGUAAUUGAAAAAAUAACUUAUUAUUAUAACGAAUUUAUUCAAUAUUAUCCCUAUUUUAUUGGAAUCAUGUUAUGCGUAUAAAUAGCAUAUUUUUAAGAGUGAGUCCGAGAUGCGCACAUUGACAGAUGGACACAACUAAUCAUAUGUCGUUGUUUAUAGAGUCUCUAGAAUAUCUCUAGGCAUAUGGCGUUGUAGUUGGCUGCGUCCGUUUGUCA